UAUUAAUUUAAUUGCUGUAAACUUUUAUAUGCAUACGCAAGAGCUUAUUAGCCAAAUUUGACCAGAUAUAUCGUCUUACCUGUUAGUCGACGCUGAUAUUUGGUGUUACAUCUGUACAUUCAUCUUGUUGCGCAUCGUCAGUUAAAUAUAUCUAUAUCACACAAAGGCAAAUCAAUAUUUCACUCGUCAACAGAGCAGAGAUUUACAAUCCUCUGUAAAUAGAAAUUCUGGUGAUGUUUUCAUAAAUUCUCAUUGGAUUUUUUUCUCAUUUUAAUUAAUGGAAUUAUUCAAACACAUUCUUUCAUCAUUAAUUGUGAUUAAGUUGAAGAAUUAAUUAGAACGUUGAAUAAUGAUUGAUUUUUAGAAGAAAUUAGGCUUUUAUUAUUUACGUGAAG